rnacentral:tRNA from 1 species
AAGGCUUUAGCAUAGUUGGCAAUGCCAUUCGCUCAUAACGGAUCUUAGAAGUGUUCAAAUCACUUAGGCCUUA